GAAUGGGUAGCCAGGGAGGGCAACUGCCCCCUUACAGGGCCCAAUGUAUAUAAAACCCUGGGAGUCUGUAUGCCUGUGACUAUAGCACUCCGAGCUUGGACACCCCAGCUUUGAGGCUGCUGCUGCUGCUAAAAUGUCAGAGACUAACCUGAGAAUCAGUGGGGGGGCGGUGAGGUUUGGGGCGACCUAUGGGGGCAACAGGCUCUUCUCUGGGGGCAGGAGCGGUGGAGGUGGCGGCGGAGGGGCUGGAAUGGCCCUCUCCAGGUCUCUUGGAAUGGGCGGGGGUGGAAGAGCAGGACUCGGUAUGAGAGGAGGGAUGGGGCUAGGCAUGGGGAUGGGAAUGGGUGGAGGCCUUGGGAUGGGAGGAGGCCUGGGGAUGGGAGGAGGCCUGGGGAUGGGAAUGGGUGGAGGCUUUGGGAUGGGGGGAGGCCUGGGGAUGGGGGGCGGAGGAGGUCUUGGGAUGGGAAUGGGUGGACGUGCCCUGGCUCUAGGAGCCGGCGGUGGAGGGGUCAGUGCAGCAGGAUUCAGGGCUGGCGUGGCCCCACUCAGGGCUCGCUUGGGUGGCCGGGUCUUCAAGAUCGGAGGCUAUGGCUUCAACCCGUCUUUCCUGAGCUCCACCACUGCAGUGGGUGGUGACGUGGGUGUCAGCCCUGUGCCAAGCAUCGAUCCCUCGCUACCCUCGCUCGACACAGUCCAGGUGACCCGCCUAAAGGAGAAGGAGGAGCUGCAGGUCCUCAAUGACAAGUUUGCCACCUUCAUUGACAAGGCUCGCUCUCUGGAGCAGACCAACGCUGUGUUGAGGGCCAAGAUCGCCAUGUUCACCAACCCGGACCAGAGCGGCCCUGCCAACACCUCCAUCCUGCUCACCUCUGCCAUCGGUACCUACAAGAUCCAGAUUGAUGGCCUGUCUGCCACCAAGGAGGCCAUUGUUGCUGAGAUUGAGCACUACAAGAGCAUCAUCGAAGAUGUCCAGAGCAGGUUUGAGGAGGAGACUGUCCAAACCAAGUCAUUAGAGAUGGACUGGACCACAUUAAAAGAGGAGGUAGACAAUCUCUACAUGAGCAUUUUUGAGCUUCAAACCAACAUUGGCGGACUGGAAGAUCAGAUUGGUCUCUCAAAGCAGGUGUAUGAUGCUAAAGUGAAGGAGGUGAGGAACAUCAUGACGGGCAGUGUGAGGUCAGCCUUCUCCAUCUCGGUGGACAACGCAGCCCAAGCCCAGGACCUGACCUCUGCCCUGUCGGACGUCAAGUCCCACUAUGAAGCCCUGGCCCAGCGCAGCAAGCAGGACGCCCUUGUUUCUGUGCAGGACAGUCUCUCCAUGAUGUCCAUGACGUCCCAGCCCAGUACCCAGACUCUGACCCAAACCAAAGAGGAGCUGCGCAUGUACAAACUGCAGAUCGACUCAGUACAGAGGGAGAUCGACAGACUCAAGACCCUGAACAUCCAGAUGGAAUCUCAGGUGGAUGAGGCAGAGUCCCACUCCAGCUCCCACACAGAGACCUAUCAGGAGCAGGUGCUGACCCUCAAGUUGCAGCUGGAUGACAUCAGAAAGCAAAUAACACACUAUGGUCAAGAGUACCAGGAACUCCUGGCCAGUAAAAUGUCUCUAGAUGUUGAGAUCACUGCAUACAAGAAGCUUCUGGACAGCGAGGAGAGCAGACUGAGGUCAGGAGGCGGCGUGACCGUGCACAUGUCUAAGACUGCCAUUGGAGGGGGAGGUGGGGCUGGCCUGGCCCUGGCCCUGGGAGGAGGCGGCGGCGGCAUGGGUCUGGGAGGAGGAGGCGGCGGCAUGGGUCUGGGAGGAGGAGGAGGAGGAGGCGGCGGCAUGGGUCUGGGAGGAGGAGGAGGAGGCGGCGGCGGCGGCAUGGGUCUGGGCGGUGGCUACAGAAUGGGCGGAGGCCUAGGAGGUGGCUUUGGAGGGGGUCUGGGCAGUGGCUUUGGAGGUUUUGGAGGAGGUCUGGGGUUAGGAGGAGGUGGAGGGUCUUUCGGAGGUGGGGGAUCCUACGGAGGCGGGGGGUCCUUCGGCGGCGGGAGCAGCUACAUGUCAUCCAGCCUGAGCAGCAGUGGACGUGAGUACAGCUCCCAUCUCUAUGAACUAGUUUUACUUUUAUCUGUAAUGCCUCCUUUAAAACAAUACUAUUACUGGCGCCAUCUUAAAGGAAUAUCACACUCCCAAGAUAAGUCCAUGUCACAGGCCAUCCACAAGCUAAAAUGAAUGGAAAAGCACCAUGGUAUUUCCAGAUUUGUUGUACGUGUCUUUGAAUUUCUUUGGGUUGGGGCGGCAGGUAGCCUAGUGGUUUGAGUGGAGGGGCGGCAGGUAGCCUAGUGGUUUGAGUGGAGGGGCGGCAGGUAGCCUAGUGGUUUGAGUGGAGGGGCGGCAGGUAGCCUAGUGGUUUGAGUGGAGGGGCGGCAGGUAGCCUAGUGGUUUGAGUGGAGGGGCGGCAGGUAGCCUAGUGGUUUGAGUGGAGGGGCGGCAGGUAGCCUAGUGGUUUGAGUGGAGGGGCGGCAGGUAGCCUAGUGGUUUGAGUGGAGGGGCGGCAGGUAGCCUAGUGGUUUGAGUGGAGGGGCGGCAGGUAGCCUAGUGGUUUGAGUGGAGGGGCGGCAGGUAGCCUAGUGGUUUGAGUGGAGGGGCGGCAGGUAGCCUAGUGGUUUGAGUGGAGGGGCGGCAGGUAGCCUAGUGGUUUGAGUGGAGGGGCGGCAGGUAGCCUAGUGGUUUGAGUGGAGGGGCGGCAGGUAGCCUAGUGGUUUGAGUGGAGGGGCGGCAGGUAGCCUAGUGGUUUGAGCGUUGGACGAGUAACCGAAAGGUGGCAAGAUAAAAAUCUGUCGUUCUGCCCCUGAACAAGGCAGUUAACCCAUCAUUGAAAAUAAGAAUUUAUUCUUAACUGACUUGCUUAGUUAAAUAAAGGUUAAAAUAAUACAUUAAAUAGCAGGGUCUACACAACUUAUUGCUUGGGACAUGGACU